UAAGGGCGCACGGUGGAUGCCUUGGCACUAGAAGCCGAUGAAGGACGUUACUAACGACGAUAUGCUUUGGGGAGCUGUAAGUAAGCUUUGAUCCAGAGAUUUCCGAAUGGGGAAACCCAGCAUGAGUUAUGUCAUGUUAUCGAUAUGUGAAUACAUAGCAUAUCAGAAGGCACACCCGGAGAACUGAAACAUCUUAGUACCCGGAGGAAGAGAAAGAAAAUUCGAUUCCCUUAGUAGCGGCGAGCGAAACGGGAAGAGCCCAAACCAACAAGCUUGCUUGUUGGGGUUGUAGGACACUCUAUACGGAGUUACAAAGGACGACAUUAGACGAAUCAUCUGGAAAGAUGAAUCAAAGAAGGUAAUAAUCCUGUAGUCGAAAAUGUUGUCUCUCUUGAGUGGAUCCUGAGUACGACGGAGCACGUGAAAUUCCGUCGGAAUCUGGGAGGACCAUCUCCUAAGGCUAAAUACUCUCUAGUGACCGAUAGUGAACCAGUACCGUGAGGGAAAGGUGAAAAGCACCCCGGAAGGGGAGUGAAAUAGAACCUGAAACCGUGUGCUUACAAGUAGUCAGAGCCCGUUAAUGGGUGAUGGCGUGCCUUUUGUAGAAUGAACCGGCGAGUUACGAUUUGAUGCAAGGUUAAGCAGUAAAUGUGGAGCCGUAGCGAAAGCGAGUCUGAAUAGGGCGUUUAGUAUUUGGUCGUAGACCCGAAACCAGGUGAUCUACCCUUGGUCAGGUUGAAGUUCAGGUAACACUGAAUGGAGGACCGAACCGACUUACGUUGAAAAGUGAGCGGAUGAACUGAGGGUAGCGGAGAAAUUCCAAUCGAACCUGGAGAUAGCUGGUUCUCUCCGAAAUAGCUUUAGGGCUAGCCUCAAGUGAUGAUUAUUGGAGGUAGAGCACUGUUUGGACGAGGGGCCCCUCUCGGGUUACCGAAUUCAGACAAACUCCGAAUGCCAAUUAAUUUAACUUGGGAGUCAGAACAUGGGUGAUAAGGUCCGUGUUCGAAAGGGAAACAGCCCAGACCACCAGCUAAGGUCCCAAAAUAUAUGUUAAGUGGAAAAGGAUGUGGCGUUGCCCAGACAACUAGGAUGUUGGCUUAGAAGCAGCCAUCAUUUAAAGAGUGCGUAAUAGCUCACUAGUCGAGUGACACUGCGCCGAAAAUGUACCGGGGCUAAACAUAUUACCGAAGCUGUGGAUUGUCCUUUGGACAAUGGUAGGAGAGCGUUCUAAGGGCGUUGAAGCAUGAUCGUAAGGACAUGUGGAGCGCUUAGAAGUGAGAAUGCCGGUGUGAGUAGCGAAAGACGGGUGAGAAUCCCGUCCACCGAUUGACUAAGGUUUCCAGAGGAAGGCUCGUCCGCUCUGGGUUAGUCGGGUCCUAAGCUGAGGCCGACAGGCGUAGGCGAUGGAUAACAGGUUGAUAUUCCUGUACCACCUAUAAUCGUUUUAAUCGAUGGGGGGACGCAGUAGGAUAGGCGAAGCGUGCGAUUGGAUUGCACGUCUAAGCAGUAAGGCUGAGUAUUAGGCAAAUCCGGUACUCAUUAAGGCUGAGCUGUGAUGGGGAGAAGACAUUGUGUCUUCGAGUCGUUGAUUUCACACUGCCGAGAAAAGCCUCUAGAUAGAAAAUAGGUGCCCGUACCGCAAACCGACACAGGUAGUCAAGAUGAGAAUUCUAAGGUGAGCGAGCGAACUCUCGUUAAGGAACUCGGCAAAAUGACCCCGUAACUUCGGGAGAAGGGGUGCUCUUUAGGGUUAACGCCCAGAAGAGCCGCAGUGAAUAGGCCCAAGCGACUGUUUAUCAAAAACACAGGUCUCUGCUAAACCGUAAGGUGAUGUAUAGGGGCUGACGCCUGCCCGGUGCUGGAAGGUUAAGAGGAGUGGUUAGCUUCUGCGAAGCUACGAAUCGAAGCCCCAGUAAACGGCGGCCGUAACUAUAACGGUCCUAAGGUAGCGAAAUUCCUUGUCGGGUAAGUUCCGACCCGCACGAAAGGCGUAACGAUUUGGGCACUGUCUCAACGAGAGACUCGGUGAAAUCAUAGUACCUGUGAAGAUGCAGGUUACCCGCGACAGGACGGAAAGACCCCGUGGAGCUUUACUGUAGCCUGAUAUUGAAAUUCGGCACAGCUUGUACAGGAUAGGUAGGAGCCUUUGAAACGUGAGCGCUAGCUUACGUGGAGGCGCUGGUGGGAUACUACCCUAGCUGUGUUGGCUUUCUAACCCGCACCACUUAUCGUGGUGGGAGACAGUGUCAGGCGGGCAGUUUGACUGGGGCGGUCGCCUCCUAAAAGGUAACGGAGGCGCUCAAAGGUUCCCUCAGAAUGGUUGGAAAUCAUUCAUAGAGUGUAAAGGCAUAAGGGAGCUUGACUGCGAGACCUACAAGUCGAGCAGGGUCGAAAGACGGACUUAGUGAUCCGGUGGUUCCGCAUGGAAGGGCCAUCGCUCAACGGAUAAAAGCUACCCCGGGGAUAACAGGCUUAUCUCCCCCAAGAGUUCACAUCGACGGGGAGGUUUGGCACCUCGAUGUCGGCUCAUCGCAUCCUGGGGCUGUAGUCGGUCCCAAGGGUUGGGCUGUUCGCCCAUUAAAGCGGUACGCGAGCUGGGUUCAGAACGUCGUGAGACAGUUCGGUCCCUAUCCGUCGUGGGCGUAGGAAAUUUGAGAGGAGCUGUCCUUAGUACGAGAGGACCGGGAUGGACAUACCUCUGGUGUACCAGUUGUCGUGCCAACGGCAUAGCUGGGUAGCUAUGUGUGGACGGGAUAAGUGCUGAAA
rnacentral:rRNA from 1 species